rnacentral:rRNA from 1 species
GACGAACGCUGGCGGCGUGCUUAACACAUGCCAGUCGAACGGAAAGGCCCUGCUUUUGUGGGGUGCUCGAGUGGCGAACGGGUGAGUAACACGUGAGUAACCUGCCCUUGACUUUGGGAUAACUUCAGGAAACUGGGGCUAAUACCGGAUAGGAGCUCCUGCUGCAUGGUGGGGGUUGGAAAGUUUCGGCGGUUGGGGAUGGACUCGCGGCUUAUCAGCUUGUUGGUGGGGUAGUGGCUGACCAAGGCUUUGACGGGUAGCCGGCCUGAGAGGGUGACCGGCCACAUUGGGACUGAGAGACGGCGCAGACUCCUACGGGAGGCAGCAGUGGGGAAUAUUGCACAAUGGGCGGAAGCCUGAUGCAGCAACGCCGCGUGCGGGAUGACGGCCUUCGGGUUGUAAACCGCUUUCGCCUGUGACGAGGCGUGAGUGACGGUAAUGGGUAAAGAAGCACCGGCUAACUACGUG